rnacentral:rRNA from 1 species
GCAUAUCAAUAAGCGGAGGAAAAGAAACUAACAAGGAUUCCCCUAGUAACUGCGAGUGAAGCGGGAAAAGCUCAAAUUUAAAAUCUGGUGGUCUUCGGCCAUCCGAGUUGUAAUCUAGAGAAGUGUUACCCGCGUCGGACCGUGUACAAGUCUCCUGGAAUGGAGCGUCAUAGAGGGUGAGAAUCCCGUCUUUGACACGGACUACCGAGGCUUUGUGGUGCGCUCUCAAAGAGUCGAGUUGUUUGGGAAUGCAGCUCAAAAUGGGUGGUAAAUUCCAUCUAAAGCUAAAUAUUGGCGAGAGACCGAUAGCGAACAAGUACCGUGAGGGAAAGAUGAAAAGAACUUUGGAAAGAGAGUUAAACAGUACGUGAAAUUGCUGAAAGGGAAACGCUUGAAGUCAGUCGCGUUGGCCGGAAAUCAGCCUUCCUUUUGGUUGGUGUACUUUCUGGUUGACGGGCCAGCAUCAGUUUUGACCGGUGGAUAAAGUUGUGAGGAAUGUGGCAUCUUCGGGUGUGUUAUAGCCUCGCUUCGUAUACAUCGGUUGGGACUGAGGAACUCAGCACGCCGAAAGGCCGGGGUUCGCCCACGUUCGUGCUUAGGAUGCUGGCAUAAUGGCUUUAAUCGACCCGUCUUGAAACACGGACCAAGGAGUCUAACAUGCCUGCGAGUGUUUGGGUGGAAAACCCGAGCGCGUAAUGAAAGUGAAAGUCGAGAUCCUUGUCAUGGGGAGCAUCGACGCCCGGACCAGAAGUUUACGGACGGCCCUGCGGUAGAGCAUGUAUGUUGGGACCCGAAAGAUGGUGAACUAUGCCUGAAUAGGGUGAAAGCCAGAGGAAACUCUGGUGGAGGCUCGUAGCGAUUCUGACGUGCAAAUCGAUCGUCAAAUUUGGGUAUAGGGGGCGAAAGACUAAUCGAACCAUCUAGUAGCUGGUUCCUGCUCGAAG